GCCUGGGUGGCUCAGUCAGUUGAGCAUCUGACUUCAGCUCAGGGCUCAGGUCAUGAUCUCAAGGUUUGUGAGUUUGAGCCUCGCAUCAGGCU
rnacentral:tRNA from 1 species